UAGCCGAUGAAGCCCUUCGGGGUGUAAACGCUCUUUCGUCAGGGAAGAUAAUGACGGUACCUGGAGAAGUCAGGCUCGCGGCUAACUAACGUCGC
rnacentral:rRNA from 1 species